rnacentral:lncRNA from 1 species
AUUUUCAGACCUUCCUCGAGGACAAAAGAAAAUGUCAGGCUACCCACACCCUCCUUCCGGCUACGGCUACGGCAGCGCUCCACCACCAGGCCAACCUUACGGCGCGCCGCCUCAAGGCCAGCCCUACGGUGCGCCGCCCCAAGGUCAACCCUACGGCGCAACGCCGCAAGGGCAGCACCAGACAGCCCAACCCUACAGUGCUCCGUCUGCACCGUACGGCGCUCCAUCCUCCGCACCGUACGGUGCUCCGGCAGCACCGUACGGCGCGCCUUACGCGCCAGAGAAGCCUUACAAUCCAGACAAGCCUCACAAGAAUCAAGGCGGAGGAGGCGGAGGCGGAGGCGGAUACCCGAAUCAAGGUGGAGGAGGCGGAGGCGGAGGCGGAUACCCGAAUCAAGGUGGAGG